ACUCGGCGUCGCAGUAGGCUUGGCCGCGCAGGCGCGCGGUGGAGGACGCGUCUCUCCAUGCCCCGCCCCGCCCCUCUCAGAAGCACGUGCGCUCGCGUCAUUUCCUGUUAUUCUUUUCGCUCCCACUCCGGUGCUGUGGGUUUGCUGGGGACCGACUCUUGGGGCGUGUCUGCUUCCUCUUUUCUGUCAGGGCCUUCUGAGAAGCGAGGAGGUAUCGGUCAUAGUUGUGACCAGGAUUGCGAGGCCAGAAUUAAAAUCGAAAUGCCUUCGCUUCUGAUGCCUCUGUUGGAUUCAAGGCAACUGCUUAUUCCUCUCCGAGCCUCAGUUUCUUCGUCUAGUAAAUGAGGAAGUUGGACGAUAUCUGCAUGUGUCCUUUUUUCAGGGACUCCUUUGAGAAUCUGAUGAGAACUAUAGACCCUUUCGCCAGAGAAAUGCACAUACACACCAAAGUUUUCCACAAAGUUUAGGCAGGUCACCUACGUUGGUGAUUUUUUGAGGGAUCGCUAUAUAUUUAUGAUUCUGAUGGUUACUCAGCAGACGGGAAAGGGGUGGGGUGAGCGCUGCAGCAGCUGCUGCCUCCUCAUCACCAGGACUGGUUCUGCCAAUCUAACUAUGCCUCUCCUCACCUGCCUUUGCCCAGCUCCACUUCUCAAAGCUUCGUGGGAAAAGAUGACUGUCCUCAGUUCUGUUACUUUUGACCCAAUGUCACAGUGGCAAAAGAUGUGACUUUUGCAGUCGAGGGGAAGAAAUAAAGAAUGUCCGCGCUUC